rnacentral:lncRNA from 1 species
CCCGCCCGCGGGGUUCCUCUGUCUCUCGUACAAGACCGCAUCCCCGAGAGACCACCGGAGUUUUCGCAUAGCCUUCUGGAACUUGUAGUCCUUUAGGGACGCAGAGUGGGCUCAUGCAUCGGACAGGUGUUGAUGUGGCAUGAGGUCCCUGUAGCUCCCGUGUGGCCCCAUUUCUGCCCUCUGAAGCAGCAGAGCCCACGCACCAGUUGUUACAGAACCUCCCUACCUUGGCUGCCCGUCUCUGCAAAAAUGUGGUCAGACCGGAAUGGUCAACCUCAGAGCCUGGAGGUCCACUCUGAACUUAUGGCAAACUGAGAGCUACAGAGCAGCUGCUUCCACGCCCGGAGACGAGCAAGAGGUGGUUAGAAAGAGA